ACCCUAUCCCAUUCCAACUGCUUUUCAACUUAGCUAUAGUUACAUUCAUGUUUCCAAAUAAUAGCGUAUACUAUUUCUUCAUUUGAUUGUUUUACUUUAGACAUCAACUGCAUUCCUAUUACAGUGUGUAACGCUUUAGCUGUCUAAUCACGAAUGCCACAACCCUACCACCCCUACCACUCUCUCCACAAUCAAUCCUCUCAAAAACCCAUCCACUAUUAUCACAAUUUGUGAUUAAAUCAAUUCUAUGUGUUUACAUUUAUUAUGACUAUGUAAAUAAUAUUAACGGCUGAGCUGUAAUUACAUCACAUUUCUAAUACUCGCUGGACUUAAUCAUACCAUCUUUUCUGUGCUUAGUUGUGUAUCUGUCACUAAUUCUCUCCAAAUGCUCUGAGAGACUGGCACAAUGUUCUUCAUAACAUGUUCCACACCAUCAAUAGCAUCAAAUAACCCAUCAUUUGCAUUCACCCACCCCUACCUCCCAGAGCCUUCAACUUGAACUGGUUGCUCCUUAACUUUGUUAUACAACUGUAGCCUUUCUAUGUCUUUCACUGUCAUCUUGUGUUGAAGUGCCCAUUUCCCAAAUUCCAUUAUCUUCCACUUUCUUUGCUUGUACAUCAAGUAGCUUCCUUAGAGCAAGUACAUAAGGGAUAAAUUUUGGAAGGACUCGCAUAUCUGAAAAUGUCUUUAUUCUAUCUUAGAUUUGAUAAGUUUGGUCUAGUUUGGAAACAAUUUUCCCUCAGAAGCCUGAAGAUACUUCUCUAUUGUUUUCUAGCUUUCAGUGCUGCUGUUGAGAAGUCUAAUACCUUCUUGACCCCAAUCCUCUGUAGGAGGAGACUUACUUUUUUCUUUCUGUUGUUGGAAUCUGCACCGUGCAAAGAUCAUCUGCAGAUUCAUC
rnacentral:lncRNA from 1 species